CGGCCAGACUCCUACGGGAGGCAGCAGUCGGGAAUAUUGCGCAAUGGAGGAAACUCUGACGCAGUGACGCCGCGUAUAGGAAGAAGGUUUUCGGAUUGUAAACUAUUGUCGUUAGGGAAGAUACAAGACAGUACCUAAGGAGGAAGCCCCGGCUAACUAUGUGCCAGCAGCCGCGGUAAUACAUAGGGGGCAAGCGUUAUCCGGAUUUAUUGGGUGUAAAGGGUGCGUAGACGGAGAAACAAGUUGGUUGUGAAAUCCCUCGGCUCAACUGAGGAACUGCAACCAAAACUAUUUCCCUUGAGUGUCGGAGAGGAAAGUGGAAUUCCUAGUGUAGCGGUGAAAUGCGUAGAUAUUAGGAGGAACACCAGUGGCGAAGGCGACUAUCUGGCACAUAACUGACGCUGAGGAGCGAAAGCGUGGGUAGCAAACAGGAUUAGAUACCCUAGUA
rnacentral:rRNA from 1 species